UACGGAGGGUGCAAACGUUGCUCGGAAUCAUUGGGCGUAAAGCGCACGUAGGCGGUGCAGCAUGUCGGGUGUGAAAUCCCCCGGCUCAACCGGGGAAGUGCAUCCGAAACUGCUGGGCUUGAGUACUGGAGAGGGUCGCGGAAUUCCCGGUGUAGAGGUGAAAUUCGUAGAUAUCGGGAGGAACACCAGUGGCGAAGGCGGCGACCUGGACAGAUACUGACGCUGAGGUGCGAAAGCGUGGGGAG
rnacentral:rRNA from 1 species